ACGGAGGAUGCAAGCGUUAUCCGGAUUCAUUGGGUUUAAAGGGUGCGCAGGCGGAAUGAUAAGUCAGUGGUGAAAUCCUACGGCUCAACUGUAGAACUGCCAUUGAUACUGUCAUUCUUGAGUACACUUGAAGUGGGCGGAAUGUGUCAUGUAGCGAUGAAAUGAUAAUGUAUGACACGGACCUCCGAUAGCGAAGGCGGCUCAAUAAGGUGUAACUGACGCUCAGUCCCGCAAGCUUGGUGAUCGUACAG
rnacentral:rRNA from 1 species